ACAAAGUCGUGAAGCGCGUGGAGGCCAUUUUGUUAUUCUUAAUCAUUCUUAGCUUGGUCAGUCUAUAGCGAAGACGAAUAGUGUGAACGGAGUUCGUGCUAAUUAACAAUAUUCGUUGUGUAAUUAAUCUUGGCGAUAUCAAAUCCAGAUGCUAUUAAUCAAAGAAAUUAUUUAAUUAAUCUUGAAUAACUCAAAAAUGCUUCAAGAAAAUUCGAACGAGAGCAACGAAGACAACCAUGCAAUGGAUUGCGAUACAGACGAGUCGGCACAAAUUCAAAAGAAAAUCAAGAAGAAAGUUAAAAACGUUAAAAGAGGAAUAAUCUAUCUGUCCACAAUUCCGAAAUAUAUGAACAUCACGAUGAUCCGAGAGAUGUUUUCUGCUUAUGGGAAAGUGGGCAGAGUGUAUCUGCAGCUAGUCGACAAUGAGACACAAUCAGUGAAACAUAAAAAGAAAACCAAGAAAGUAAUCAAGCAUUUUACUGAAGGUUGGAUAGAAUUUGAAAGUAAAAAAGUAGCAAAAUUUGUAGCAGAAACGUUAAACAAUACUCAAGUAUCCACGAGAAAGAAAAGCAAAUUCUACGAUGUUAUGUGGAAUAUAAAGUAUUUGCCUAGAUUUAAAUGGAUUCAUUUGAGUGAACGAUUAGCAUAUGAACGUGCAGUUCAUAAGCAAAGACUUCUAACAGAGAUAGCGCAAGCUAAGAGAGAAAUUAACUUCUUCUCAUAUAAUGUAGACAGAAGUAAAAAGCUGCAUAGGAAACAUGAACAAGGGGAGGAGACGACGUUUGAAUUGUCUGAAGUUAAGCAAAGGGAUACUGAUAAUGAAAUAAGGAAUAAGAAAGCAAAUACGCAAGUAGAAGAUAGAACAGAAUUCCUUAAAUCAAUAUUUGGAUAAAAUUUUUUAAAAUAAAACUGUAUAGAAGAAAAUUAUGGAAAUAGCAUUCAAUAAGCAAAAAAAUGUUUAUAAAAGAGGCGGGCAUAGUUCAUUAUUGAUGAAAAACUCAAGAAAUUGUGUUAGAUGAAGCGAUUGUUGUACUAAGCUAACAGCGAUGUCCACGGCGUUGAUGUUAUCUACAACAAAUAUGAACGUGAUUAAAAUAGGAGGUCGAAGCAAAAGGCGUAUCCAUACCAUCAUUAUCUUCACAUGUUAAUUCCGGUGACGGUACGGAGAUACUACGAUUGACAGUGCGGUCUGAUAUGAAAACGUUUGAUGUAUCAAUAGAUGCUGAUAUGCGGCAUUCAUAAUUUUUUUAAGUUGAUUUUUUAAUAUAAUUUUAUAUACUUACUGGCCGCAGUCGUAUGAAAUUGUAUAUGCGCACGACCCGACAGUUCCCUUGGUUAUUAGCUUCUGAUUUUCGAAAAAGUUCCAAUAAACGAAGUUCGAAAUUGAGCUUCAGAAUCUAAUCGAGAAUUAAUGUUUGCACCUUUAUGAAACGACAGAUUUCUUUGUCCAUUAAUGGAAGCUGGAACAUUACGUUCUUGAUAGUGAGAUAGGCAAGUUUACACGAGUUACUAGAAUGUUCUUUGUGCAUUAAUAACAGUAAAAAGGAAAAUGUAUG